AGAGUUUGAUCCUGGCUCAGAACGAACGCUGGCGGCAUGCCUAACACAUGCAAGUCGAACGAAGCCUUCGGGCUUAGUGGCGCACGGGUGCGUAACGCGUGGGAAUCUGCCCCUCGGUUCGGAAUAACAGUUAGAAAUGACUGCUAAUACCGGAUGAUGACGAAAGUCCAAAGAUUUAUCGCCGAGGGAUGAGCCCGCGUAGGAUUAGCUUGUUGGUGGGGUAAUGGCCCACCAAGGCGACGAUCCUUAGCUGGUCUGAGAGGAUGAUCAGCCACACUGGGACUGAGACACGGCCCAGACUCCUACGGGAGGCAGCAGUGGGGAAUAUUGGACAAUGGGCGAAAGCCUGAUCCAGCAAUGCCGCGUGAGUGAUGAAGGCCUUAGGGUUGUAAAGCUCUUUACCAGGGAUGAUAAUGACAGUACCUGGAGAAUAAGCUCCGGCUAACUCCGUG
rnacentral:rRNA from 1 species